rnacentral:rRNA from 1 species
GACGAACGCUGGCGGCGUGCUUAACACAUGCAAGUCGAACGGUGAAGCCCUUCGGGGUGGAUCAGUGGCGAACGGGUGAGUAACACGUGAGCAACCUGCCCCUGGCUCUGGGACAACCACUGGAAACGGUGGCUAAUACCGGAUACGACCCGCCUCGGCAUCGAGUGUGGGUGGAAAGUUUUUCGGCUGGGGAUGGGCUCGCGGCCUAUCAGCUUGUUGGUGAGGUGAAGGCUUACCAAGGCGACGACGGGUAGCCGGCCUGAGAGGGCGACCGGCCACACUGGGACUGAGACACGGCCCAGACUCCAACGGGAGGCAGCAGUGGGGAAUAUUGCCCAAUGGGCGAAAGCCUGAUGCAGCGACGCCGCGUGAGGGAUGACGGCCUUCGGGUUGUAAACCUCUUUCAGCUCAGAAGAAGCGAAAGUGACGGUAGGAGCAGAAGAAGCACCGGCUAACUACGUG